CUGCAUUUUAGACAGGAAGAGGAGGAAGUCCACAGAAUCAAAGAGCAUCUGCCAGUGGCCAAGGAACAUAAUUAAAGGGGAGCUUUCUUGAAGGAACUGCUUGACAAUCUUUACUCAUAUUGAGUGGAUCAGAGUAGAGCUGCAUCAGUCUACCAGGGAGGCAAAGAAAUGUAGUCAAAAACUCUGACCACAGUGCUCCUCCAAUAAGUUAGACCACUAUGAGAAGGGAAGAAAAUGCAACAUGAGAUUGACUAGUGCAUAUAGUCCUGUUGGCGAGACCAACAUGGCCACAACUGGUCCCAGUGCAACACAUCACAAGGCGAGAUGGACAUGGAUGAAAUGAAUUGAGGAAGCAGAGAGAAAACUAUGGCUAAAUGAGCCUGGGGAAGUCUGAGAAGACUGUAGAGGAACAGAUAAUGCCAGCUGAGUUGUGUUUUAGUAAGUAUUUCUCAGGCCAAUUUAGAGAGAAAUAAUAACUUCUGUGUUUGUAAACUACUCCCAAUGAAAACUGAGUGGUGACAUACUGGACCUCACUCCAAAUUUAAUUUUUAAAGAAAGGAGCCACAAGUAAAAGUAAUUUAAAAUACAACAUUAUAGGGCACAGUAUUGAUAAAUGAGAGGAAAACUGAUUCUUAAAGAGUGUACCACUCAUUGACCAUGCCCUGAAAUUAACUGAGAGCUCAUUUGUCAAGAGUGUACCUACCCUAGAGAAAAUUUUUCCAAUUAACAUCAAAAGCGAUCACUCUUAACCUCUCAUGCAUUAAGAGAUUCUUGUCUGCACCCAAUGUUCUGUUCAUAAUCAAUGGAG
rnacentral:lncRNA from 1 species